CCUAUAAGACUGGGAUAACUUCGGGAAACCGGGGCUAAUGCCGGAUAACAUAUAGAACCGCAUGGUUCUAUAGUGAGAGAUGGUUUUGCUAUCACUUAUAGAUGGACCCGCGCCGUAUUAGCUAGUUGGUAAGGUAACGGCUUACCAAGGCGACGAUACGUAGCCGACCUGAGAGGGUGAUCGGCCACACUGGAACUGAGACACGGUCCAGACUCCUACGGGAGGCAGCAGUAGGGAAUCUUCCGCAAUGGGCGAAAGCCUGACGGAGCAAUGCCGCGUGAGUGAUGAAGGGUUUCGGCUCGUAAAACUCUGUUAUUAGGGAAGAACAUAUGUGUAAGUAACUGUGCACAUCUUGACGGUACCUAAUCAGAAAGCCACGGCUAACUACGUGCCAGCAGCCGCGGUAAUACGUAGGUGGCAAGCGUUAUCCGGAAUUAUUGGGCGUAAAGCGCGCGUAGGCGGUUUCUUAAGUCUGAUGUGAAAGCCCACGGCUCAACCGUGGAGGGUCAUUGGAAACUGGGAAACUUGAGUGCAGAAGAGGAAAGUGGAAUUCCAUGUGUAGCGGUGAAAUGCGCAGAGAUAUGGAGGAACACCAGUGGCGAAGGCGACUUUCUGGUCUGUAACUGACGCUGAUGUGCGAAAGCGUGGGGAUCAAACAGGAUUAGAUACCCUGGUAGUCCACGCCGUAAACGAUGAGUGCUAAGUGUUAGGGGGUUUCCGCCCCUUAGUGCUGCAGCUAACGCAUUAAGCACUCCGCCUGGGGAGUACGACCGCAAGGUUGAAACUCAGA
rnacentral:rRNA from 1 species